CAAAUGAAAGCCAAUUUAAACCAUCCUAAACAAAAACUUGAGUGUAGUAGUUGGAAAGGAUCAUAGAGUAACUCAUAUAAUUCAAAGAGCUGUAGAGAUUGGGGUCUCAAGGGCCUGAUUCUAGAGCUGAGAACUCCUAGCAUUUGCAUAAUAGCCAUUUACUUGUAUUUUCCUCUACAGAGUGGCCUAAUGGACACUGUAGAAAGACUUCAUUAUGAGUUUCUGAAUUGCUCCAUUCCUGCAUCUUUCAGGACAAUGUCAUUCAUAAGGAUACAAGCUUUUUGAUUGGUGCCACC
rnacentral:lncRNA from 1 species